rnacentral:rRNA from 1 species
GACGAACGCUGGCGGCGUGCUUAACACAUGCAAGUCGAACGGAAAGGCCCUGCUUUUGUGGGGUGCUCGAGUGGCGAACGGGUGAGUAACACGUGAGUAACCUGCCCUUGACUUUGGGAUAACUUCAGGAAACUGGGGCUAAUACCGGAUAGGAGCUCCUGCUGCUUGGUGGGGGUUGGAAAGUUUCGGCGGUUGGGGUUGGACUCGCGGCUUAUCAGCUUGUUGGUGGGGUAGUGGCUUACCAAGGCUUUGACGGGUAGCCGGCCUGAGAGGGUGACCGGCCACAUUGGGACUGAGAUACGGCCCAGACGCCUACGGGAGGCAGCAGUGGGGAAUAUUGCACAAUGGGCGGAAGCCUGAUGCAGCAACGCCGCGUGCGGGAUGACGGCCUUCGGGUUGUAAACCGCUUUCGCCUGUGACGAAGCGUGAGUGACGGUAAUGGGUAAAGAAGCACCGGCUAACUACGUG